CAGUAGCCACGGUAAGACAGAGGAUGCAAGCGUUAUCCGGAAUUAUUGGGCGUAAAGGGCUCGCAGGCGGUUUCUUAAGUCUGAUGUGAAAGCCCCCGGCUCAACCGGGGAGGGUCAUUGGAAACUGAGAAACUUGAGUGCAGAAGAGGAGAGUGGAAUUCCACGUGUAGCGGUGAAAUGCGUAGAGAUGUGGAGGAACACCAGUGGCGAAGGCGACUCUCUGGUCUGUAACUGACGCUGAGGAGCGAAAGCGUGGGGAGCGAACAGGAUUAGAUACCCCCGUAGUCCCUGUCUCUUAUAC
rnacentral:rRNA from 1 species